AAUUAUUCUCGGUUUGAUAAAUACGGUAUAGUAUGGUUUAUUACGUGUUAUUUAGAAGAGAGAUUAUGGUAAUGGUUUAGCGCGAAUAAUGCACGGGUUUUGUGUGCAUGUUUUAGCGCGAAAGUGCACGAGUUUUUCGUUUUGGGGUAUAUAUGAUUUACACAUCUAUUGAGUCGCCAUUCGAGGGUGUAUUUGACAGGCAAACGUUAUGGAACAAGAAAACGAAAGGGUGAUAAAGUAGUUUAGGCGUUCAUUUGCGAAAUACAUAGUAUUCGGAAGAAGAUUUUCGAUGAGAGGACUGAUUCUCUGCUAGAAGCGGAAUGGUGAGCUGGAACUUCGAACAAAGGUCAGACUUGUUGGUUCUGUUUAUUGUAAUAACACUGGCAACAACAUUCCGAUUGAAAUUAACACAGGUUGUUUUCCUUGUUAACUUUUAUGAUAAGUAUAUUCAAUAACAUGCUCCAUAUCUUUAUUUGUGCUGUUGUUUUUGUUUAGUGCAAACUAUUCAGAUACAUCAAUUGAUUUGAUUAUUGGGUAAAAAUGAAACUAUUUAAGUCCAAAAAGAGGUCGCAAAUGUAAUGGUCUGGUAGGAUUAUAUAUAGGUAAGGCCACAUAGUGUGUCACUCCAGGUUGUUUUGAUAGCAGUGUUAGAUCACUCUCCCUCAUGUUUUUACGAACACCUUGCUUUAUUUUUUAUUGUUUUUAAGAUAUAACACCUUAUAUGGUAAUACAUGUGUUACAAGUUUGUGUAUUAGUUCCAAACGUAUAAUUCAACAAACGAUUAAUAACAAUUAACUGCCGUUUUCCUUAUAAUUCAGCACGAUGGUUGUGUGCGAUAUAUGACGUGGUAUGAUAAUGAGCGGAUGAAAAUUUAUGCGAACAUAUCUUUAAACUAUUCAGGUUUUCCAAUUGUGAAUUAAGAAUUUAACAUCAAAAAUCGAUACAUUACGGAAAUAUAUAUUCUAUUCAUCUAUGAAACAGCUAUAGAGACUUGUCUUGUAAACUUUUUUCGAAACAUGUUUGUGUUUUGCAUAUAUUACAUCUCGUUCGCUGGAAAUUGAAUAAACAGUUUAUAUGUUAUUGUUGUAUACAAUUAAAUAAAAAUUCUCUAAAUUGAAUUAAAUAUUAAGAGUUAUUAUAUUUUUCAUAAUAAUUUAAGACGUUAAGUUUUCCCUGCAAGGUUGGUGUCAAUAAUGGUGCAUGCAUAUGUGCUAAUCAAUUUACGAUAUUUUGGAUAAAUUGUGGUAUAAAUUUGGUUUGAAAAGAGCGUUGACAAUAAGACUGUUGUUUUAAACUUAGAUGAAAGGCAUUUAUCGGUUUUGUUAAAUUUAGUUUCGUCAUAGAUAAAUGCAUUUUUAAAGAUUAGGUACUGUAAUGAUAACAAAAGUAGACCGGAUUUAUUUGCAAUAUAAGUCAUUUUGUUUUCGUGAUAGUUUUUGUUCUUGUUUGGUGGCCUGUUGGCUUGAUGUGUAAAGACAUUUUGCUUUUAUGGUGUUUGGCCGUUUUUUGAAUGCCAGUUUACAUGUGUAAUUUUCUUAUCGUUUUGGUAAAAGCCAGUUGACCAGAUGUGGAUAAACCCAGUUAGCGCGUGUAGUUUGUUAACCAAACUUAUUAAAACGUGCGUUUACAUUUACAUUUUUGUUUUUAUUUAAUGUUAAGAUUGUACUGUUCGAAGGAUAUUAUAUAUAUUGGAGAACAUUAAAUGUAUGUUAUUAAGGUCCAGAUUGGCUUAUGUAAAUUAACCGGUUGGCUCGGGUUGUCCGUUGACAGUUUGUUGAAAGCAGAUUUUUUCAGAUGCGUAUAAGCCAGUUUGCUUGCGUGUCAGUUCACUAAAAUGUCUCAAAACACAUGUUGAAAUUGCAUUUACACAUGUUUGCGAAGUUUAUUUUUUCAGAAGCCGGACAGUUCGAAGAAUAAAUAAUGAAUAGUGUAACAUUAUAGUAAGAGGGAAGCUCGAAAGGUAUAAUUUGUUUUUGUUUUUUGUGUGUGUGUAAUUAUGUGUUAGAAAAUAACUUGUUAAGAUUAAUAAUGAUGAUUUUAUUGAUGAUGAUGUUAUAAAUGUUGAUGAUGAUGCUAACGUUAUUGAUGAGGAGGAGGAAUAGUUGACCGUAUUUUGUGAAUGGAUAAUACUACAUUAACGAAUUUUGAGUGAAUGAAUUUAUUUUAGGUUUGAUAAAUACCGAAUGAUGUUGGUCUAUACAUAUUAUUUAGAAGAGAAAGAGAGUAUGGUUAUGGUUUAGCACGUAAAAAUGAAUGAGUUUCUAGGUUUUGCGUUUAAUUGAACAAAAACAAGUAAAGAUUCAGCAACAGGGAUUAUUCUCAGAUGGUACAUGUUUCCUUUUAGAGUCACAGAAAUUCAACUUUGCAUCAAUAGCGGUUUUCUUUGAGAUUUGUUUGAUGGGUAAAAAUUCCAAAAAUUGAUGAGUUUUGCAGCCGACCAAGUACCUAUAGCUUUGUAUUUGUGUGUGUUAAGCAUUUUGUUGUUUUCAAAUUAGUAAAUCAAAAUUAAUACAGUGUUCUAGUAUAUCAAUUGAGCUUAUGCUAUUGCCAUGGAAUUUUGAGCCAGGGUUCGAUCAGUAGCUGAAAGUAUGUCUGUGUUGGUGAAUUGAACCUAAAAACAAAUGUCAAGUCGGUAGUUUUAAUUUUAAGAGCAGAACAUACGUAUUGAUUGUGAGAACAUUAGUAAAAUGUGUUUGGUAUUUGUGCAUGUCUCUUGUGGUCAUUGGACCAAGUUGUUUAAGGUCAAUUGGCCUGAUUUUGAAAGCCACUUGGCUUGUAUGGUCAGUUGACCGCUUUUAAAGCCAGUCUAUAUGAUGUGUGAAAGCCUGUUGGCUUGUGUUGUCAGGUUACCGAACUUUCUUAAAACGAAAGUCUCAUAGAAUUAACAAUAUUUGCAAGUUUAUUGUUUGCAAUGCAGUAACUGGACAGUUCGAAUAGUAUAUUAAGUAUUGAAGAACAUAAAGGUAUGGUUUAUGUAGUAUGUUAUUAUUAUUACUAGGAGUGUUAUGAUGUAUUUUAUUUGGGUGCAUUUGGAGAAUUGCAAAGCCGGUAGUUAAAAAAGAGCCUAUUACAUCAGAUAUAUUAAAGAAAUUUUAUCACACUUUUGUUUCUGAGGGCGAUUGUUCUUUGGGGUAUUUAAGAGACGUUACAAUCUUUUUCUUAUCUUAUGCUGGUUUUUUAGGAUAAGUGAAAUUUUGUCUGUUAAAAUAUCAGAUGUUGUAUUUUUAGAUACGCAUUGUGAUAUUAAAGUUGAAAAGUCAAAAACGGACAUUUUAAGAGAGAGUAAUACUGUUCUGAUUGCAAAAACUAAUACAGACACAUCUGUGAAAUUGUUUGAAAAGUAUUUGUGUGUUGCAGAUAUUGCAUGUUCAUCUACUGAUUAUGUGUUUAGACCAGUUUAUUUGUGUAAUGUUAAACACUGUUUCAAAUUGAUUUCUAAUAAUAAGCAUAUAAGUUAUUCUACUAUAAAUGAUAGUUUUAAGAAGAAGUUAAGUCUAUUGGGUUAUGUUUCUUCUAAAUAUGAACUUCAUUAUUUUCGUGCUGGUGGAGCAUCUAUAAGUGCCAAUAAUAAGACUGUGGAUAGACUUUGGCAAAGACAUGGUAGAUGAAAAAGUGUUUCCACUAAGAACGGAUAUGUUAAAGAUUCUUUGAAAGACAGAUUAUCGGUGUCGCUAAAUUUAGAUUUGUGAAAAGUCAUUAUUAAUGUAUGUGUGAUUUGAAAUGUAUGAUGUGUUGUUCGUAGCACAUUUAAAGACACUAUAAUAUAUUAUUAUAUAAAUAAUUUGGAAAUGCUUUUGAGUAUUAUUAAGUUCUGUGUUUGUGUUGUGUGUAUGUUCCUUGUGGUCAUUGGACCAAUUUGUUUACGGCCAUUUGGCCUCAUUUGGUAAGCCAUUUGGCUUGUAUGGUCAGUUGACCGUUUUUUAAAGCAAGUUGAUCUGAUGUGUGAAAGCCGGUUGGCUUUUGUGAGUUGACCUUAUUUUCUUAAAAAGCAUGUUCACAUGGAAUUAACAAUCUUUGCAAGUUUAUUUUUUGCAGUGCAGUAACUGGACAGUACGAAUGGUAUAUUAAGUAUUGGAGAACAUAAAGUUAAAACACAGUUCGAGAGGUAUAUAACGUGGUGGAGAAUAUUUGGGUAUUCAUUUUAUGUUUCAUAUUAUUUGUAUUCUCUCUUUGUUUUAUUCGAAAGUCCUGUCAAAUACAAGCACUCACUCCUA